UGAGGAAUAUUGCGCAAUGGGGGAAACCCUGACGCAGCAACGCCGCGUGAGUGAGGAAGGUUUUCGGACCGUAAAGCUCUGUCGAGCGGGAAGAAAUGCAUGGUGGCUAAUAUCCAUCAUGCUUGACGGUACCGCUAAAGGAAGCACCGGCUAACUCCGUGCCAGCAGCCGCGGUAAUACGGGGGGGGCGAGCGUUGUUCGGAAUUAUUGGGCGUAAAGAGCGUGUAGGCGGCUGAAUAAGUCAGAUGUGAAAUCCCUGGGCUCAACCCAGGACGGGCAUUUGAAACUAGUCGGCUAGAGUACGGGAGAGGAAAGUGGAAUUCCUGGUGUAGAGGUGAAAUUCGUAGAUAUCAGGAGGAACACCGGUGGCGAAGGCGACUUUCUGGCCCUAUACUGACGCUGAGACGCGAGAGCGUGGGUAGCAAACA
rnacentral:rRNA from 1 species